GGUAUAGCUCAGUGGUAGAGUGCUUGCCUACCAUGCGUGAGGCCCUGAGUUUGAUCCCAGUACC
rnacentral:tRNA from 1 species